UAAUAUGGAGAGUUUGAUCCUGGCUCAGGAUGAACGCUGGCGGCGUGCCUAAUACAUGCAAGUCGAGCGAACUG
rnacentral:rRNA from 1 species